UCGGAGCGUAGCUCAGGCGGUAGAGCACUGGCAUGGGGGGCCAGAGGUCGGCGGUUCGAGUCCGCUCGCUCCGACUUU
rnacentral:tRNA from 1 species